rnacentral:tmRNA from 1 species
GGGGUAGUACUGGUUUCGACAGGGGUUCUGCAACUGGUGAAGCUAUUCGAGGAACAUGACCUUGUAAAACAUGUAUCUAAAUACAAACGCUGAAGAUAAUUUAGCAAUCGCUGCCUAAUUGCAGCUGUCAGUGCCUGGUGUCCUGCAGCCAGGUUCCUGGCAUCAAACACCGCAGGGAACCUUAUUUACUAAGCUUUGCGUAAGUAAGAGUAUCAUGAAGCUACUGAUCCGGUAAGGGUGUUCGUUCCCGUGCCGGAGAGGGAAUGCCAAAUAACGGACUAUAAUAGUAGAAGAACAGUGAAUGGGCUUUUGGACACGGGUUCAAAUCCCGUCUACUCCAUAG